ensembl:lncRNA
GUUUUACUCACAUUCUACACCAGGGUUUACACAUAUUUUGCUCCAUGUUUCCUCACAGUUUUCUCCGAGUUUUGUUCACCCUUUACUCCAGGUUUGCUCACUCUUUACUUCAAGGUUAUGCACACUUUACUCCGAGUUUAAUCACACUUUACUUCUGGUGUGCACACACCUUACUCAGGGUAUUACUCAUGCUUUAUUCAAGCUUUACUAAUCCUUUACUCUGGGGUUACACACACUUCAAUCCAGGUUUACUCAUACUUUUCUGUGGGUUUACUCUCACUUUACUCAGGGCUUUACUCACAAUUUACUCCGGGGUUCCUAACAAUAUGCUUUAGGUUUUACCCUCAAGUUUACUUUGGGUUUACUCACAAUUUACACCAGUUUUACUCGCUAUUUACUCCUAGCUAACACACCCUUUACUUUGGGUUUUACUCACAGUUUUCUCAAGCUUUACUCACACUUUACAUCAGGUUUUACUCACAUUCUACACCAGGGUUUACACAUAUUUUACUCCAUGUUUCCUCACAGUUUUCUCCGAGUUUUGUUCACUCUUUACUCCAGGUUUACUCACUCUUUACUUCAUGGUUACGCAUCCUUUACUCUGGGUUUACUCACACUUUACUCCGUGUUUCCUAACAAUGUACACCAUUUGUUUUACUCACAACUUUACUUUGUGUUUACUCAGAAAUUACUACAGCUUUACUCACUAUUUACUCCGGGAUUACACACCCUUUACUUUGGGUCUAGUCACACUUUUCUCUAGUUUUACUCACCCUUUACUCCAGGUUUACUCAACCUUUACUCUGGUUUUACACACACUUUAUUCCAGAUUUACACACACUUCACUCUGGGUUUAGAUACACCUUACUCCGGAUUUUACUCACACUUUACCCCGGGUUUUACUCACACCUGUUUACUUCUUGUAGACAAUAAGAUGACCAACCAGAGCCAGCCAAGAGUCUCCAACCUGACCCAUGUCAAAGGAAAAUAAGACCUCAGCCUUCAUCCAAAAGUCCACCAAAGAACCACCAAAAGAUACGCAUGUGUCAUAGAGCUGAGACUUGGGGCAGGGAUAAAUGUCAAUCAUUU